rnacentral:rRNA from 1 species
UGGCGGCGUGCCUAACACAUGCAAGUCGCACGAGAAAGUGGAGCAAUCCAUGAGUAAAGUGGCGCACGGGUGAGUAACACGUGACUAACCUACCCUCGAGUGGGGAAUAACUCGUCGAAAGACGGGCUAAUACCGCAUAAUACUUACGGGUCAAAGCAGCAAUGCGCUUGAGGAGGGGGUCGCGGCCGAUUAGCUAGUUGGCGGGGUAAUGGCCCACCAAGGCGAUGAUCGGUAUCCGGCCUGAGAGGGCGCACGGACACACUGGAACUGAAACACGGUCCAGACUCCUACGGGAGGCAGCAGUGGGGAAUUUUGCGCAAUGGGGGAAACCCUGACGCAGCAACGCCGCGUGGAGGAUGAAAUCCCUUGGGAUGUAAACUCCUUUCGAUCGGGACGAUUAUGACGAUACCGGAAGAAGAAGCCCCGGCUAACUUCGUGCCAGCAGCCGCGGUAAUACGAGGGGGGCGAGCGUUGUUCGGAAUUAUUGGGCGUAAAGGGCGCGUAGGCGGUUUAGCAAGUCUUAUGUGAAAUCUUCGGGCUCAACUCGAAGCCUGCAUGAGAAACUGCUGGGCUUGAGUAUGGGAGAGGUGCGUGGAAUUUCCGGUGUAGCGGUGAAAUGCG